rnacentral:lncRNA from 1 species
UAGUUAUCCUCUUCUUACAUUCAACCCACAAUAGUCGAGUUGCCGAUGACGUUCCCUUUUCCAAACAUAUGUAUAGAUAUAAACAAAUUUUAAUUUCCAAGUGGACCAUUCGACCAUGAAGAGUGUUUUUUGACUCACACCCUUUCUAACUAGACUACGGAAGCGCGGUUCGAGACCAUCUUUACUGACAUGUUCCAUUACGGAGAUCGUGUUCCCCUUUUCCAGGCAUAUGGUUUAUGAGUUGGGUUAUCCGACACGCGCAUAACUACAUGAUUUUAUCUUGAAAUGGCGAGAUUUACGAUGCAGUAGUGGGGCUCUUGGUAUCUCAACGGUUCAUAAAAGGUAAAACCGUCACCAUAUCCUCCUUCCACAUUCCACAUCUCGCACCAUCGUUGCCAUUCCUAGUCUCCGAAGCUCC